GCCAGUGUGGUGUAGUGGUCUGAGCAUGGGACUAUGACUCUGGUGUCCAGGGUUUGAAUUCCUGCUCAGCUA